rnacentral:rRNA from 1 species
CCUACGGGAGGCUGCAGUGGGGAAUAUUGGACAAUGGGGGCAACCCUGAUCCAGCCAUGCCGCGUGUGUGAAGAAGGCCCUCGGGUUGUAAAGCACUUUCAGUGAGGAAGAACGCCUGGUGGUUAAUACCCAUCAGGAAAGACAUCACUCACAGAAGAAGCACCGGCUAACUCCGUGCCAGCAGCCGCGGUAAUACGGAGGGUGCGAGCGUUAAUCGGAAUUACUGGGCGUAAAGCGCGCGUAGGUGGCUUGAUAAGCCGGUUGUGAAAGCCCCGGGCUCAACCUGGGAACGGCAUCCGGAACUGUGAAGCUAGAGUGCAGGAGAGGAAGGUAGAAUUCCCGGUGUAGCGGUGAAAUGCGUAGAGAUCGGGAGGAAUACCAGUGGCGAAGGAGGCCUUCUGGACUGACACUGACACUGAGGUGCGAAAGCGUGGGUAGCAAACAGGAUUAGCUACCCGGGUAGUC